rnacentral:rRNA from 1 species
GACGAACGCUGGCGGCGUGCUUAACACAUGCAAGUCGAACGGAAAGGCCCUGCUUGCAGGGUGCUCGAGUGGCGAACGGGUGAGUAACACGUGGGUGAUCUGCCCCUUACUUUGGGAUAAGCCUGUGAAACUGGGUCUAAUACUGGGUAGGACCAUGCUGUAGGUGGUGUGGUGGAAAGAUUAGUUUCGGUAAGGGAUGAGCUCGCGGCCUAUCAGCUUGUUGGUGGGGUAAUGGCCUACCAAGGCGUCGACGGGUAGCCGGCCUGAGAGGGUGGACGGCCACAUUGGGACUGAGAUACGGCACAGACUCCUACGGGAGGCAGCAGUGGGGAAUAUUGCACAAUGGGCACAAGCCUGAUGCAGCGACGCCGCGUGGGGGAUGACGGCCUUCGGGUUGUAAACUCCUUUCAGCCAUGACGAAGCCCUUGUGGUGACGGUAGUGGUAGAAGAAGCACCGGCUAACUACGUG